CACGAUAUUGCUUCAUCUCAAAAUUGGUUUUUAUUACUUGGUAAGUUGGUACUAUUAAUGCUUUUGGGUGGGAUUGUUUUUUUUUUUUUGCUGGAGAGUAGGGGAGGUCCAUAUGACAGUUUAUAUCAUUAUAAUACAACCCCAUUUCUGAAAAAGUUGGUACAGUAUGGAAAAUGCUAAUAAAAACAUUGAGGAGUGAUUUGUAAAUGUACUUUGACUUUUUUUUAUUUAUUAUUUGAUGUUUUACCUAAUCAACUACAUAGUGUUUUGAAGGUAAAUGUUUAUUUUGAAAUUGAUGCAUGCAACACGUUCCAAAAAAGUUGGGACGGGACAAUUUAGGACUAAUAGCUACGUGGCAAGUUGAAAUAAAAAGGUGAUCUGAAACAGGUUAGGAAAUCGUCUAAUCAUAGUAUGUAAGGAGCCUUCAAAAAAAGGCCUAGUCCUUCAAGAGCAAGGACGGGUCGAGGCUCGCCAGUCUGCCAACAGAUGCGUCAGUGAAUAUUCCAACACUCUGGGAACAACAUUCCCCAAAGACAAAUCAGUAGGAUUUUGGGCAUUUCACCUUCUACAGUGCACAAUAUAAUUAAAAGGUUCAAGGAAUCAGGUCAAAUCACAGCGCGUAAAGGACAAGGCCGAAAACCACUUCUGAAUGUGCGUGAUUUCCGAUCCCUCAGAUGUCACCGUCUUAAAAACCAUCAUGAGUCUGUAAUGGAUAUCCUGACAUGGGCUCAGGAAUACUUUGGUAAACCUUUUCAGUCAACACCAUUCACUGCUGCAUCCGCAGAUGCAGGUUAAGGCUUUACUAUGCAAAGCAGAAGCCGUACAUCAACACUGUCCAGACGCGCCACUGACUUCUCUGGGCUCAGUCUCAUAUGAGAUGGACAGUAACACAGUGGAAUCGUGUUUGGGGGUCCGAUGAGUCAACAUUUCAAAUAGUUUUUGGACAAAACAGCCUUCGUGUUCUCUGGGCCAAAGAGGAAAAGGACCAUCCAAGCUGUUGUCAGCGUCAGGUCCAAAAGCCAGCGUAUGUCAUGAUAUGGGGGUGUGUUGGUGCCCAUGGCAUGGGUAACAUGCACAUCUGUGAGGGCACCAUUAAUGCAGAAAGAUAUGUGCACGAUUGGAGCAAUAUGCAGUAUGUUGCCAUCCAGAGCAGGACAGCGGCAAACCACAUUCUGCCUGGAUUACAACCGAAUGGUUGCGUAAGCAGAGAGUGCGGGAACAGUUGUACAGCUGAAGAAAUGCAUAAUGAAUGAAUGUGGGAAAAUUACGCUUGCUAAACUUAACUAACAGGUGUCUUCAACGCCCAAACAUCCAUCCAUCUUCUACCGCUUACUCCUUUUCAGGGUCACGGGGAACCUGGAGCCUAUCCCAGGCAGCAUCGGGCACAAGGUGGGGUACACCCUGGACAGGGUGCCAAUCCAUCGCAGGGCACAAUCACAUAUACACUCACACACCCAUUGCGCCCAAUCAAUCAAUUAUUAUUAAAAGAAAAGGUGAUGUUACACAGUGGUAACAUCACUUCUCUCUUUUCUUUCUAAAAUCCUUGAACGCACUGUCUACACUCAACAGUCCCUCUACCUCUCAUAGAACAACCUCCAAGGUCCUAACCAGUCUGCCUUCAAAGCGGCACAUUCUACAGACUCUGCCCUUUUGGCUGUCGUUGAGAAGCUACGUGCUACUAGAUCAGCCAAACUGUCGUCAGUCCUCAUCCUCCUGGACCGUUCGACAGUCAGCGACAAGACUCUGUUGUCCACCCUCAUGAGUCUAGGAAUUAGUGGUGCAGCAUGGUAGUGGUUUGCUUCCUACCUGGAAGGUUGCUCAUACCAGGUGUUGUGGAAGGGGCUAUACAUCUACUCCCCACAGACUCUGCACUGGUGUCCCACAAGGCUCAGUACUUGGUCCUCUUCUGUUCUCCCUCUGUACUCACUCUCUUGGUGAGGUCAUAUCCUAAAUGGUAAAUGGUGCACUUAUAGCGCCUUUAUCCAAAGCGCUUUACACUGUGUCUCAUUCACACGCACACUCACACACCAAUGGUAGCAGAGCUGCUAUGCAAGGCGCUAACUUGCCAUCGGGAGCAACUCGGGGUUCAGUGUCUUGCCCAAGGACACUUCGGCAUGUGGAGUCACGUGGGCCGGGAAUCGAACCGCCAACCCUACGAUCUUGGCAAAACUGAACUGCUGUUCCUCCCAGGUGAUUCAUCACCAUGUCAGGAUCUUGUGAUCUCCCUGGACAACUUUCUGAUCCCACCUUCGGUUACUGCAUGCUAGAGUUGGGAUACUUGAUCUUGGGUCGGGACUCCAGUCCAAUUAUGAACGAGCUUGGACUUUUCACACACUCUGGUAAAAUUCUACUCGAACUUGACACGGACUCUGAGAUUUUGGAGUACAGUUGAGUCUGCCUCAUGUGUAACAUGAAAAGAGAUAAUGAAAUAAAUAACAUAAAGUUAAGAUAAGAAAUGAAUGAAUGUCUCCCUGCCUGACCAGGGGCUUUCUGUGCGCACACACCUGAAGCGGGUACACAGAAAGCCCUCUCAUUGUGCGAGUACCGGAUUGAGUUCUCUUUAGUGGCUUAUUACACUUGGACGGUCAAAUACACACCUAAAAUGUAGAUCUGUCCGAGUAUUCUUACAAGCACACUCGUGUAUGUCUUAAGUGAAUGUAAACAGUUGGGAAAGAAAUCGGAGGUGUGUCGAUACAGUAUAUUAGAUCUGUGCAUUAGGUCUUAAAGUGACAGAAAUCUAAUAAACCUCCUGCUGUCUGUGUCAUUAAUAUUAAUCAAACAACAAAAGACAAAGAGAAACUCACUCACUCACUUAUUUGGCUGAAUAACUUCAGCACAUUUAAUAAGAAUCACUGUGUGUCAUACAGUAAAGUCUAUUUUAUUUUACAUUUAAUUGCUUUAUUCAAUUUCCGUAGUAUUUCUUGCUUGAAUACUACUGAUAGACCUGAGAAAACCUAUCUUUAUCAUGAAAUAAGAUUGUAGUUAUAUCACCCACCCCUAAACAUUAGCAUUUGGUGAUUCUGGUCUUGAAUUGCAUCUAAAAUGUGAAAUGUACUUCUUAAUGUGGUAAAUAUCAUAAACGCUGCUGAUAGGGAUUUUUGUUUUCUUCCCAUUUUAAAAUGGACUCGGACACAACACUACACGCAACCUUGGGGUGACCAUGGACAAUCAUCCUUUUCCUCUCAUGUUGCUAACCUGACACAGUCAUGUCGAUUUCUCCUUUACAAUGUCCACACAGGCCACUCGGGUGCUGGUUCAAUCUCUUGUCAUUUCAAGACUGUAUUACUGCAACUCACUCCUAGCAUGUGCCUCUGAGCACCAUUCGACCUCUGCACCCGAUCCAGAAUAGAGCUGCACUGUUGGUUUUCAACCUUCUGAAGUUCUCCAACACCACCCCAUUGCUACGCUUCCUCCACUGGCUUCUUGUAGCUGCCUGCAUCAGAUUUAAAACUCUGAUGCUUGCCUACAAAGCCAAAAAUGGACCAACACCCACUUACCUCAAAUCACUGAUCACACCCCGCAAUGCACCACGCUCCCUCUGAUCCUCUAGCACUGCUACACUGGUGCCACCAUUUCUCAGGGCACCAGCAAGGCAUGCAUCAAGACUCUUCUCUGUUCUGGCACCUAGGUGGUGGAAUGAACUCCUAGGUGUCCGAACAGCUGAGUCACUGGCGGUCUUCAAACAACAUCUAAAGACCUACCUCUUCCUGAAAGUUUUAACCCUCUUACCCCGUAUGGCCGAAAAACCGGCUUGCCCGUCUUUGAUCUAUUCCCGUUGAUGAUGUCACGACGUGAUUACGUUAUUAUGCCGUCAUUACGAUGAAGAUCCAAGCGUGAGUAUUGGUGUAAUAGUAGAAGUGAACUAAAAAUGCCAAAGUGAAAAGCUAAUCAUGUUCCAGCUAAAGUUACAUGUACAGUGAACACAGGUACAUCUAAAACAGUGAGGGGGAAAAAAAAAAGAAAACAUACACAGUUACAAAGGCGAGAGCGAGGAUUCUAGAUAGUGACAGCAGUGAAAGUUCAGGCGAUGUUGAAACCGAAACUGAUAGAGACGCAAACCCUCCUGAUUCAGACCCUGAUCCGUCUUCAUCUUCAGCAACAACCAGUGCGACUGACACUGCAGGGGUCUGGAGUCAUAACGGGACCAUUUCUGUGCAUUCGUGAAAACACUACCUGCUGGUCUGAUUAUCACCAGUAACUUGACUUUUGGUGCUAAAAUGCAUUUAUUUAUUUAUUUAUUUAUUUAUUUAUUUAUUAUUUACUUGAAUUUAUUCAAUAUAUAUUUAAUAUAUACAAGGCAUUGACCACACUGAUGCUCAUAUGGUACUUCUAAAUGAGUAUAAGGAUUUUAGCGAGUAUUUUUCGUCAUUUCUCUAGUUAAGAAUUGUGCUCUAAGUGGAGUAAAAACACUGAACUGCUUCAUUUUCAAAGUAAUAUUACACAAAUACAUUAUUAUAAGUUGUUUCAAGGCCUAAAAAUGUUAAAAAUAAAAUGUUAAUUUUGGGGCCCAUUUUGGCCUGGGAACUCGGGGUUGGCGUGCUGUUUCUAUGGGGAAUAUAGGGUUGUGGGACAUAGUACUGUGGGAACUAAGGGGUAAGAGGGUUAAGACUGAUGGUAUUCUUAGUCCGUGACCUAGUAAACAAGUAUCGGGAUGUAUUUAUUUAUAGAAACUUCAUAGCACUUCUGCAAGUCGCUCUAUAUAAGGGCAUCUGCCAAAUGCCGUAAAUGUAAUGUAAUGUAAUUAUAGAGAAGUCUCAAUUGUUAGAGAUGUCUGCUUUUUCACAACCAAAUUCCUCACAGUGUUUUUGUACAUAACCUCAUCAGACUGGGGGGGGAGGGAAGAGUUCUUGACAGACCAGCUCCCUCAGUUAGUCCAAGUAGCAGGAUAUAAUGCUGAAUGCAGUACAUGCCUGACUUAGCAUCAGCAGCAGGGAUACGUCGAUGUCUGUGUCACCGGAUGUUUUCCCAAUACAAAAUAUGCAUAUCCUGUUGAACUGACAGUCUCAUCUGUCCAAAUGGUUUCACCUAAAUUGGUCAUGUAGCAGCCCAUACAGGAUUUCCUUUCUUUGUGAUUGGUUAUGGACAAAUACUUGGUUUUGCUGCGUCUUUUUUUCAAAAUUUGUGAUGCAACUUUCAGAGUUUAUUGUGCAUUUUUUCAGAAAACUACUUGAAGUAGUGAAACUGCAGUUGCAAGAAAUUGUUUUGCACAGGCUUUCGCAGUGAUAUUUGUUGGUAAUGGAGACCUUUUAGCUGUACUCAUCUUCGACGCAUGUGAAUCAAAGAGGGCUUUGGCUGAAUAAGCAUUGUGAUGACAUCACAUGACGUGUCUUGGCCCGAAUUUGCCAAAAAAAAAAUUACAAGCUCCUGUGAAUAGUGUGGAGUUUGCUUGAUUUCGCGAUAAUUUCUGUGGGGGACUGAUGUAGGAAACAUUCUGUAAUUUAGAAAUGCACUUUUAUUCCAAGCAGACCAUCCAUUUCUUAAAUCUGAUUUUAAAGCUGCGUUUUGAUCUUGGUAGUUGCUCAUAUCUGAAGUACGGAGCCAAAGCAACAACUUUUUGAGUGCUUUUGGAGUUUACGCUCUGUUUACACAGUUCUGGUGUAUCUGAUAUCCAUUGAUGCUAGUGUCAAGCCCAGUUUAUGACCACACAGCCAAAGAUGGUAGAUAACGUUACUAAAGAUCAUAAAGUACAAAUUUUGUACUUUGCAGCUCAUCGCAGAUGUUUCUCUGGUCAUUGGAAAGGAACUCAGAGCUUAUUGUCUUUUUAUGGUGGACAGUUUGAGUGAAGGUCUGGGACGUUUCACUUGGGUUGUUUUUGUCUGCUGGAUGUGAAUAAAAUUAAACUAAACCCCAUACAUCAGAUUCACGCAGGAUGUGACACGUAAGCAAAACGUUUGCUUCGUGUAAGCGACCUUCUGUCCAGUCCAGACCAACUGUGGUGUCUGUGCUAUUGGUGCCCUUUGUCCCAUGAGGAACGGGACAAAGUAGAGCAAGCUUACAGUUGAAUAGUAAACAAAGCUGCAUAUAUGUUUUAAUCUACUUGGGAUUUUAAGUAGCAAUAUAAGUGCAUCUCAACAUCUGGAUGGAAGGAUUUGUAUUUCUACGCGAAUGCUGUGUCUUCUAUGGAUUUAUGUUGAGCGAAACGGAAGUGAAUCUGUUUUGCGAUGCGUGUGUAAGACACAUGGCUAAACAAUGUUUCCGAAAAACAUUUUUGUAGCAAUGUUUUUCAGCAAUUACAGGAUAAAUAUAAAAUCACAUCAUUACAUUUUCUUCUGUUAUUUGCAAAUUUGACAUCUAUUAUAUCUCGGUCUGAAAUGAAACCUCGUCAUCAUAUCAUGGACAAGAUUUCGUCAAUAAGCCUUACACCAAGCGGACGGUUUCUUUUUUUUUUUUUUUUUAUAGCAUAUUAUACUUGCUCAGGCUAAUGCAGAGACUAAUUCUUACAAAUGUGCACAGGCAGAGGAGAUUGCUGUGGGGAUUUCUGAUGAGCUGUGGAACAGUUGAGAACACGAAUAAAUGUGCAGUUAACCCAAGGAAUCAAUUUUGAUACUGUUUAAAAUGUGCAUAAGCUCCAAGUUGCAUAAAAUGUUGGCAAAAAUGCUCAUCACAUCCACUGUGUGCAAACUGUAAAUACAAUAAGCUAAUAUAAUACAUGUAUUUUUGGACGUGCGCAAAACUCCCAUCAGUUUUGGGAAUGUGUCUUUAGAUGCUCGAAAGAGUUUGCUGUCCUGAUCAUGAAGAUGUAAUUAUACUUAAAUUACAUAUGUUAUAUCCCGGUUGUUGGUUUCUGGAGUGGUGUUUUGUCUUUUUUAAUUAAUUAAUUUAUUUAUUUUUCUUCUUUCUUUUCUUAUGCUUAGAGGCUUAGGCUUUUUUCUUGCCUUAUCAGUACAUGUUUAUUAUCCUCAUUAUAUUUGACAAAAGUUGAAUUAAAAAUAUUAAUUAAAACUGGUCUCUAGCUAGUGAAAUGGGUGUAAGUUAAGCUGGCUGUGCCUUGUAUGAUUUUUGACCCUAUUUUAAUGUUGCAGAUAUAAAAAAUAUAUAUAUUUUUUUAAAUGGUCAUUGUUAAGUAUUCUCUGCUUGUGAGUUGAGCUCAGCGGACCAAAUUAGUGCAAUUGUCAGUCCAC